rnacentral:lncRNA from 1 species
CAAGAUUGCCUGGAAGUCGCUGCUGGAAAUUGUUGUUGUUGAGGAAGAGGAGGUCAACAUCUAGGUUAAACACUUUUGGUGGAACCGUGGCGUUGAACGAGUUGAACCGGAGGUCCAAGAAGGUCAAGUUUGUGGCCGCAAGAGUUUCAUUUGGGAAGCCUCCAGUUAGCUUGUUGUUGCUGAGAUCAAGCUCAUAGAAGAAUCUGUGCCUGGCAGUGCCUCUAGGGACGGUGCCCGUGAAGUUGUUGGAGUUUGCAUGGAAGAACACCAAGUCCUCCAACCUGUCAAUGAAGCCAUUGAGAGGCAGCCUGUUGUUAAAGCCGCCAAACAAAGCUCCAUUGAAGCUGACUCCGAUGACCGUUAACUUCUUCAGGUCAGGGACAACUGCGCAGGUGAAGCCCUUAUAUUUGCAGACGUUGUUGCCCACCCAUGUUCCUGUGUAGUUUUUGGGGUCGGAUUGGAUUCUACGUUUGAAAGCUUGGAUCACAUUGAAGGCAUUUCUAAGUCGGUUGUUUAUAAAGGGGCCUGGUUGGGCUUCAACCUCUUGUUGAAAACACAAAUGUAGAAAUAGGGUUGCAAGCAGAAGGGAAGCACAGAAAGAAAUGGUGCCCAUGUUCUUGUUUUAGCUAUUGGGAUGCUCAAGAGUAGCUAGGAAUAGGGAAGAGAUGAGAGAAUAUAUAAGUAGGAUAUAGGAGCAUCUUCAAGGAAACGAUGGUAUGGCAAUUAUUGGAGCAUAAAGUGUCAUCCCCUAACUUAUGUGACAAUCUUCACAUUAAAAAUUUCUACCUCAAGCAUAUUUGUCACUUGAAGCCCACGGUGUUUUUUUUUUGGACCAAGCAAACCUAUAUUUGAUCGAACUUUGGUACAAGGAGGCGGACACACUAUCUUGAUCAGCUGAACUAACCUUUGUUUCAAAGUGAACGUUUUAAGCCAAAUUAAAUUCAUACCUCACUCUAAAUGUGAUUAAAGACCAAGUUAUGAUAUAUCAUGUAAUUUCUCUUUCCAUCAGGUAAUAUAAUUUAGAGAUAUUGAGUGAUAUACCUAUUCUUAGUACUAAUAUUAUAAAUAAACCCUACACAAUUGAAUUUCUAUAAACAAACUCAAAAAAAACCCAAAAAAUGACAGCUGGCCUUAUUGAAUUUAAUAUUGAUUAUUAAAUUACUUUGAUGUCCUAUUGAGUGUUUUGAGUAUUUUUAUGAGAUUUUGGGGUUAGGCUUGUUUUAAGAAAUUGAUGGCAAUUUUGUAAUUUAUAAAAAGUUAAAAGCUUUUUUGUUAUGUUGUAAAUGAGCUUUGGGUGUAUUUCUAAAGUCCAUUUCAUAUGGGGUAUUUUUAUAAUUUGAGCCCAUAUAUUGAGUAUAAUAGUGAAUCUCCCUAUAAUUUAUAUGUCUGUCUUUUGCUUUACAUGAAAAAAGUAUGGUCUUCCCCACCCAAAGAUUAGUCCUUGAUUUUGCACGUCAUGGGUGUGACCUCACGAAGCAACUCAAAAUGUUAAGAGGGAUCCUAUCGCGACAUGAAAGGGCAGAUCACUCAACUGCACUCCUGAACCUGAUCAUGGAAGUUUUUGGUCUGGAUUUCAAAUUUUGCCCCUAUGAUUUAUCUACUUUUAAAACAAUACAAAAUGCAAUUUAAAAAUUAUUAUAUAAAAAACCCCCGAAAAAUUAUGAAAAAUAAAACUAACAAUUAACUAUUUUAUUAUCUGCGGCAUUUUGUAUAUAUAUAGGAUUCUUUUUUAAUAUUUGAAAAAAAAACAAUGGUCAUAUUUUAUUUUUUUUCAAGUUUAAUCAUAAUAAGGUUCUAUGUGUUACUAAUUUCAUGUCACAAGUCAAUCACUUUAUGACUUUUGAAUUUGUAAAAUUUUCAUUUUACCCCUAAACAACGACUAUGUGUCAAUUGCAGGCAAAAAUUGAAGAACAUCAAAAAAAGAUAGUACCGGCCAUGGGAUCCACAAAAGAGUAGUUGGAAACAGUAAGAGAUAUAUAAUAUAAGGAGACUGAGGUAGACUUGUGUUAAGAAUAGUCAAUCCUAUUUUUUUUUUUUUUAAUUUUUAAACAAGUGAUAGUCCAAAUUUUGUAAAUUAACUUAAUUUACAUGAAUGGAGAUUUGAACUUGAGAGUGCCCUAAUUAAUUGUCCUAAAUCACGUCUACAAUAGUUGUUUGUACCAUAUAUGACCCCCCACUCACGUCACAACACGUGGAAUGAAAACAAAGCAGAGACCAGCUCGGUGAGCCACGUUGAAAGGACUAUCGGCAUACUCCACUGAUUCAUACGUGAUCAAGUCGGUAAAGUGCCUACAAACUGACACCCACACCAAUCUUGGCACACUUUGCUGAGAGACCAGUCAGCACAUUCGGCCGAUUCUGACAGAUAACCUCGGAACUCCCGCCAGAACCUGUCAGGGCACGUGUCGACCACCAAAGACACUCCCAUGAGUCCCACAUCGAAACUAAGUACUAAGAGCAACACCAAUGCUCUCUAUAAAUAGAGCCCCUUGGCACAGCCAAGAGGUAGGACUGUUUACUUGACUUGUGCUUUCACAUUGUCAUUAGAACUGCUCUUAGUUACUAACUUUGGCAUCAGAAAGUCUUCGGUAGGCACCACACCAGUGCCCUAGACUAUACCUGUUGUUUCCUCCUCCAGGCCAAAUCCAGCAUCGUGCCUCAAGGAAAGACUCUACGGACUGAAGGCUUCUCGUCCAAACCAUCCACAUCACUUGUAAGUUAACCAUAUCUCUAUCUGUUUAGAUUUAGCAUGAACAAUAGUCAAACCAAGUUAAAUUCUAAUAUUUCAUAUUAGCCUAUAAAAUAAUUAAAAUAAUUAAAAUAAUAAUAAAUAAAAGUAGGUGUACUGUGUGUGUAUAUCUAUCUAUAUAUAUAAAGCAAAAGGCAGAGAAUGGUGAAACAUUCAAAAUACCAGAAAAUGUCCUUGUUAAUUCAAACAUUAAGAAUUGAAAUUAUUAAUUAAAUGAGGAUAAUAUGGUAAAUUCACAUUUUUUUUCAUAUUAAAAAAAUAAAAUUAAAAACAAAUCAGAUAAUAGGUCCUACUUUUAUGGAACACAACUACCCAUGUUGUCUUUUCUUAAUUCUAAAAAAUAAAUAAAUAAGAAAAAAGAAAACCAAUUGGCACAUGCUCAGGCAUGUACCAAGGAGCUAGUAUAUAUACACAAUUACCACACCAACCCCAAAAAAAAAUAGAUAACUAUAAAGAAACCCAUUUCUAGCUAUAGAAUCAUAGAAAUACCCUACAUGAAAUUGACUUCAUAAACACACCCUACCUUACAUUAAACAGACUUUAUAAACACACCCUACUAUUGCCAGCUGAUUUUUUUUUAAUAGAUUUCCUGAUUUACCCUUUAGUGAGAAAUUCAUACAAAAAACUCAAAAUUGGAUUAUUACUCAUCGGUUGUUUCUCUCUCUCUCUCUCUCUCUCUCUCUCUCUCCCUCUCUCCCUCUCUCUCUCUCUCUGGUGCAAAUGCAAACACAUUUCAUUGAAAAGCACAAAGCAACACAGUGCUAGAAGUAGUAGCCUCGAUCUAAUGAGUUGUUGCAGACGACAAUGGAUUUCUCGGUAAAAAUUAAAAUGUGCGAAUUUCAUUUCCUCUUGUUUAUGCUUAAUUUUUGAUUUUCCGAUUAAUUAAGCAGGGGGUUGAGCAGAGAUCGAGUUCUUUAUCAUUGGGCAAGUGGAUCUGCACGGCAUUUAUACUGUUUGUAGCGAUCAUAGAGGUGUUGAUUUUUGUUGUGACCGGUUGCUUUAACGGCCGUCCCCCCCCCCCCUCCAACCAAACGCUGUUUCGUUUUCGGCGAUAUGUCUAUCAUCACCGAUGAAAUCAUAUGUAUGAAUUUAUUUAUUUAAAAUAUUCAGAAGAUUAAGAAAACUAUAUAUAUGCAGAACUUCGAAUUGUGAAUUAUUUCCUUUUGCUUUGGGAAUUUUGAAAAAAAAAAAAAAAAAAGAAGAAGAAAAAAUGAUUAGUUAAUGAGAAUUUUGAAUGCUGUUUGGGUUGUUUACUUGCAUGAAAUCAUGAUGCAAUUACUGUUAAUGAGCUGGAGGUAUUGUAUGAGCUGUUUAAAAAGUUGAGUUGUUCAAUUAUCGAUGACAGAUCGAUUCAUAAGGUUAGCCAAAUUUCUUUGAAUCAUUCAAAUUCAAUUAUGAAGAAAUGUGUUGUUUCUUUCUAGUUUCAUGCAUUGUAGUAAUUAUUUGGAUGAUGAUUAUGUUGUAGGAAGAGUUUCAACUAGCACUAUUCAGAACUCCCUAUGGUGAAAAUCUUUUCCUGGACAGGGUAUAUGCUUCAUACCAACAUCUUGAACUAAUUGACUAGGAUAUAUAUAAUUCCCUGCACCUAUUUACACGAACUGGAUUUUUCUUUUCUAGGUUUUUGAUCUCUUUGAUGAAAAGAAAAUGGUGUCUUUGAAUUUGAUGAGUUUGUUCAUGCACUCAAUGUCUAUAUAUUUUGAAAGUGUUUACCACCUUUAUGGUAGUGAAGUGGUUAUUAGUUAAUACCAAUGAGUUUUCUGGUAUGGCCUUGGUACUAACAAAGCAUGACACAAAGGAAUAUGUAAGCAGCCACCCAACCCGCUUGUUUUACUGCUUUCAUCAGUUUCAUGGUCAUUUCUAUGUGCAAGCUUUGUUAUCUUGAUAACCUUGUACGUAAAGUUGCUUCUGUUUAUUUUGAGAAACAAUGUGCUGAUGAUAUGAUAUUUGCAAUGCGUUCUGUUCGUCGAGACUCCAUGUGUCGUGUUGGUUUGUACGAUGAAUUUUAAAAUGGUUGGCUUUAUUUUUUGUGAUAUGUUGGUAACACAAUGCAACUGUCUUGUUUUGUAUGUAAGAUCUGAAAGUGAACUUCUCAUGCAUAUGAAGUAAUGUAAGUAGUUAAAACCUAUUUUAAAAUUGAACCAAAAGUUGGAAUUUUAUACUUUAAAAUUAUACAUUUAGUUCGCAUAUAAAGCAGGAUUGUCAUGUAUAUGUAUCUUGUAUUUUCCACAGACUUAGGUUGGUAAUAUUGUCAGUUGCUAUAGAGUUCAAAACUCCCAAUCUCCAUUUUCACUUCAUUAUUGAUUUGCAAGGUGCAUGGUGUGGCUGCAUUGCAUCUAUUUGCUCUCUGUCUAUAAUUUUCUCUCUCAUGAAAUGCAAGAUGAGAGACUCCAUGUCAAGAAGGGUGUUGUUAGCUUGAUGCCCCAUUCUCUUUCACUUGUCUUCACUUCACUCCCUUUUUAUUGUAAGUCUGGCCAACUGUUGUGUUUUUCCAUUGAAGCCAUUCUUUCUAGAUUCAAUAUAACACACUCUUGGUAUGAUUAGGGCUCAUACAUAGUACAUCAGAUGUAUAUACGAGAGUGUUACCACUCUCUCUCUCUCUCUCUCUCUCUGUGUGGACAGUAGAUGCCAUGAUAAUUGUUGACUUGUGGAGAGUGAUCUAAUUGUAUUGUUCUGAUUCACUCUUGCAAUUGUUAGUUGUUGUGAGUUGGCUUUAUGUUAAAAAUAUGCAGAAAACUCAACACCCAUCAGCUUAGUUCUACCAUUGCUUUAUGUCUCCUCCAUAUUAAGAACAGAAACAAUUCUGUUCUUCUCUUAUUAUCACAAGUGCUUUCAUGCAUUAGGCCAAUGUCAGUCAAAAAUCCGAUGAUUCAUAUGACAUUUAAGGGCUGGUAAGGACAAAUUAAUAACAAAUAAUUGUUGAGUAAAAUUAAAAAUAAUUUUUUGUUUUAUUAAUUUUUCUUCAUCUUUCAUGCCCUUUUUACAUGUUUUCUUAUCUCCCCCCCAGAAGAAGAAGAAACUCUGAAAAAUCGACCUAGGCGCUAGGUGGGAGAACACCACCGCGAGUUCACUCUAAAUGUUAGAGGUAAGCGCCAGGGAGUUAGGUGGCACUUGGGAAUGUUUCACAGUAAAUCAAUCCAAGAGUUCAAUUUUUUCUUCUUCUUUUUGUUCGUGGGAAUGUUUUCCUUUGACUACGUAAGUGUGGAUGUUGUUUUAUUGGGUGGUAAUCAGAGCUUGUGGAGAAUUUAGUACUCACAACAUCUUCUAUGACAUAGUAUUAACAGUGUACUUCUAUGACAUUGUAUUAACAAUGUACUUUUUUUUCUUUUUGUAGAGGUAUUUUCUUUUGCCUUUGCGAUUGUUUGUGGUGAAACUAUGGACAAUUGGAGGUGGUUUCUGCAAAAGAUAUUGGAUGUCUUGCUGGGCUUUUUUAGUUUUUUUUUUAAAUUUAAUUUUUUGUAUGAAAUGGUAUUAACAAUGUAUUUCUAUAAAAUGGUAUUAACAAUGUACUUCUAUGACAUGGUAUUAACAGUGUACUUCUAUGAAAUGGUAUUAACAGUGUACUUCUAUGAAAUGGUAUUAACAGUGUACUUCUAUGAAAUGGUAUUAACAGUGUAUGAAGAUUCGGUGGAGAAGGGUCGUAAGGACAGCUCCUUGAUUUUCGUGAUUUUUUUUUUUUAGUUCAGGUUUUUUUUUUUUUGAAAUUUGGGCUGGGCUUGUUUUGGUUUCUUUUUGAGUUUUUUGUGUUGGGCUUGUUUUAAGUUAAUCAAUGGUAGAAAUGUAAUUUAUAGGAAUUUCAACACUCAUUUCUUAUUUAGUAAAUAGGUUUUUGGUAUAUUUCUAAAGUGCAUUUCAUGUGGGGUUUUUUUUAUAAUUUCAGCACAUAUUUUGGGUAUAUUACUAAAGCUCCCAAAAAAAAAUUGACAAUAUCAAUAUCAUAAUCAAUUUUUGUUUUUUGGUUGAAGGACAGCUUAAUUUUCAAUAGAUGAAGGAGAAAAGAAAGGGUUGCCAAUGGGUCAUAUCAUAGUGGAAAAGUAUGUUUGGCCUAAGAUCAAUUGUCAUAAGUUUAAAACCCCUAGGCACCAGUGUGUGUGUGAGUAAAUUUUCCUCCCCUUUUCUACCUUUGACAAAAUAAAAAAGGAAAAACUUUGAGGAAUACAGGCCGAGUUUGUGCACCUAGUUCAUGGCCUUCAAAAUUUGAUGGUGAAAGUCUGACGAACCCUGAAGCUAAGAAGAAAUAGUAAUACUACAUUUACCAUAUUUUUAUCUCAUAUUUUUAUACCACAUGAUGUGGCAUGUCCAUAUUAUAUACCACAUCAAUUAAAUCAAUGAGGUGUAUUUUAAUUAAGACAAUUAGAAAAACAAAUACUAGAAUAAAUCAUAAAAGAAAAGAAAAUAUUAAAUAAUUUUAAUUGAUGUGGCUGUCCACCUCAGUUGCCACAUAAAAUGAUAUAAAGAUGUGGUAUACAAAUGUGAUAAGAGUAGCAUUAUUCAAGAAGAAAAUGAUAUCGUCAGUGGUGAAAGUCUGGCACAUGACAGGCGAACUUUCUCAACUAAAAGUCCUACCACAUCCAGCCAGAAAUAUGUAAUCCCUCAACUACUACUAGUUCUAAGACAGACGAAUUGGAUAGAACAGGACAUAGACAGAGACAUGAGUAACCAAAGGUCUUUUCAAUUUGAUUGAAUCUUUUAUUUGUGGUGUACAAGCGACCAUGGAAAGCAGUUUCAGCGUUCAUUUUUUAUCACAUGACAUUAAUUCAAUAGAUCAUAUAAGAGAGAGAGCCGCCCCAAUAAAAAUGAUCUCAUCGAAAAAAAUAAAAUUCAGAACAAGUAGUAACCUCGUUAUUCUAUAAACUUGCAUGCUUAAAUUAGGGCUACAAAGCAGGUUAUUACAUUGCUCCGUAAAAUCAUUAAGAAAGAAAAUAUACAAAUAUAUAUAUGCAUAAAUUAACAAAGGACCCAUCUAGCUCAUCAUCUUCCACGAGCCCAAUUCCAGCAUGAAUCAAUCAAAGCCUGUGUCGCACAAGACUGCCAUAAGACAAUGGGGCAGAAGCUUGUUUCUGAUGCUCAGGCUUCUUCUCAUUUGAACGCAAGUAUCUUUUACAAGGCACGUAGGUCAUUUCCUUCUCGUUGGGGCACUUUCUAGGCUUGGAGAAGAAGGCAUUACAUUGAGCCUUUGUUUUCUGGUUUGGUUCGCCCAAAAUGCAAUUCUGCCUAACAUCAAGAAGCUUCUUCUUCAUCAAUUUCCUGCACUCUGGGCCGACCUCUGUGAAAUAGUUGUUGGCCAAGGAAAAGUUCCCCAGAUUAGACAAGGUGCAGACCUGCUCUGGCACUGGCCCAUAGAACCUGUUGCUGGCCAAGUUUAGAUACUCAAUCUUGGCCAAGCAGCUGAAUGAAUGUGGUAUUGGGCCUGUUAAUAAGUUCGAGCUCACAUCGAACACCGUGGCCUGGUUUAAGUACCCAAUUUCAUACGGCAGGCACCCUGAAAAGGCGAGGUAUUAAAUGUCGGUGUCCAAGAUAAUAUCAAAGGUAAUAUAUAUAUUGAUGGAUAAUAAAUGAAAUCAGAAUUAAUUCGCUAGUACUGGUUACCAAUCUAUCUUACAUAUAGGAUUACGUAUCCGUUUGGUUUGUGUAAGUAUAUAACUGGAUAGGAUUCACAAUUUAGUCAGAUGUUUGGUGUCCUAAAAAUAACAUGGAUCGGAUUAUGUUUCGUAGGCCCAAAUAUAGUAGGAUUAUAAAUUCCAUCAAAAGGUUGAGAUUAAGGUAGAUGAGAUUGAGUCAUUCUAUAGUGAGGGCCUUAUCUCUUAACGUUAGAUUAAACUAACUAAUUUGAUUCAACGGCCAAUCAAAUUAAAUUAUGUUUAAUCCCAUUAAGUUAUGUAAUAGCAUAUUUCAUUUAAUCCAUUCUUUAAUUAUGUAUAGCACCAAACAUAUUAUUAAAUUAGUGUUAUUCUAUUCAAGCAAAAUAAUGUUAUCCUCAUUUUCUUUGUAUUUUGGGUACUUAAAACAGAGAAAAUGGGGGAAAAGUCCAGGAUAUUAUAGAAAAUUCGAAGCAUACCUGUAAGUUUGUUCCCAAGGAAGAGAACCUCAUAAAGGGUUUUGCAUGCUUGGCCAAUGCUUCUUGGGAUUGGACCAGUGAACUUGUUGUUAGCAAAAGUGAAGUAAUGGGCUGGUGAGGAACCAAGAUUGUCAGGAAUCUUCUGAUUGAAAUUGUUGUUGUUGAGGAAGAGCACAUCAACAUCUAGUUUGAAGACUUCCGGUGUGACUGAACCGGCGAAGUAGUUGAACCGGAGGUCCAAAAAUGUCAAAUUUGUGGCCGCAAGAACUUCAUUAGGGAAGCCUCCGAUUAGCUUGUUGUUGCUGAGGUCAAGCUCGUAGAAGAAUUUUAGUUU